GACAAUUUUAACUUAGCCAUCCCUAAUUUAUCUCAAGCUUUUUCAAUUCAUCUUCACUGCUCUAUGCACACUGGAACACCAGAUUGUCAACCCCUGGGAAAAGAAAGCAGCCAGGGAUCUAGAGAGCUGUCACAUCCUGAGAAAUAUUUAAAUUGUGCUGAUUUUCUUCUGGAGUGCUGAGCAGAGGGAAUGAAACUCUCCAUCAAGUCAUAGCUUUGCGGGCAAUAGAUCAGAGGAUACUGCCAGUUUUCCUAAUGGAUUAUUGUUAUCGGGCAGGUUCUUCCUGAAGAUUAUUUUAAGUGAAGCAGCCAUAGCUUGGAUUUCAUUGUGUGACCUUAAAACUUAGCGUCAGGCUCUUCAGAUAGCUACUAGAUCUGGCAAGGUUAAAAGAUAGUCAACCUGUUCCUUGACCUGAUAAGCGUACAACUGGGCAUUGUGACAGAU